CCAGUCUCCUGCUACGACAACUUCCAUUGGAACGAUGAAGUCGUGCGCUCUUCUUGUGCUCUUUUUGCUCUUUGUUGCUGUUGUCAUAGAAGACACAGCCGGACAAGGUAUAGCGCGUGCUACAUGCACCUGCUGUGGCCAGAUAUGUCAUACCGACAGUGGGACUUGCAGGUGCGGCGGAGUUGCACCCAACUGCUACUGUAUUGCAAUUGAUUACACAACAAGAGGACCCCCUUCUCCAGCGACUCCAUAACCAGUGAAAAUACGGAAGAAAACAGGAAACUUCUCACUCAGCUAAAUGUAAAGCUGCUGUAUUAUACUUUUUUUUGUGAAUUUUGAGUUCAACAAUAAAUGGUCAUAAUAAAGAAUGUAGUAAAUACGCUGUAUUUACUGCAUUGUCAAAGCUCUAAUUUUACUGCCUUUGUCGUUGUUGGAAAUCGAUUGAAUGCUUAAUAUGUGUAUUAAGCCAAUGGGUCAUUAGCAUUAAUA